GUUCCAAGCAGGCGCGCGGGAAGCAGUCGCGUGGCGUCGUUCCUAUGUUUUCGUUCUGGUGUCGCAGGGCUUGACGGGGUGAAUACAGGGACGAUGUUUCCUCUGGUUGAUGUCUAGAACCGGGGGUCAAGUCCCAGAAGAAGGGCUAGGUCAUUUCAGACUGAGUGUUUGAAAUGGAGCAGAGAGCAAGUCAUCAAACAGCUUCUACUAAUUACUCUCCAUACAGUUGGCAGAUUGCAUCUCUAUUACCAGAGUCACCCUUGCAUCUGGUGCCUGAGAUUGAAAGAUCUGGUCUUGAAUGGUUUGACACCUGGGUUUAUGAAGUGAUGGAAGAAGUUGGUAACAGGGACCAAGAUGUGCCAGCCUCACCUUUCAGUGAUACUGCUGAGAAACUGCUGAAUUCCCAGGAUACAGUCCCUGGGGCGAGGCUUGAACCACAACCUACUGCCACUGAAGAAAGAAUGCUGCCACUAAACAACUUUAAUCAAAAGAGUAAGUGCAUUAUCACAGGAGUAAAAGUAGAUAAUUGUGGCUGCAUUUUUGUUACUUUAUUGAGAUUAUAUAUACAUACAGCAAUACAAUAAAUGUACAUGCAGAAUUAUUCAUCUAUAUCCUUUUAAAUUCGUGAAAUGUGAAAUACAUAAUUAAGUGCCUAAAUCACAAUGUGCUAUAAUAUUAUAAUUUGGCAACUUAACCAUAAAAGUAGCAGUUUGCUUUACGCUUUUCAUCUUUGAUAACUGAUAUAUUUAAGAUAUUCAGAAGAAUGGCUUUAAAUUCAUUCCUAUUGGAAGAAAUGCUGUGUAGUAACUGAAGGCAAGAAUUCAAAUUACUAAUGCAUUUGAUUUAUUUUUCACCACGUUGCGACUUCAUGUUACUUUUUGUCUGAAAUAUAAGGCAGAGGAGUAGUAAGCAAGAACGGGGAUGAAACCAUUAAAUGGUAUCAUGUCCAAACGAGAAAGAAGCUUGCCCUUUAGAAAUAGUCUGAAGAAUAACCAGUUUCUGUCUGGGGAAGCCAUGGUUUAGUAAGCUCAGUUCCAAGCUCAUUCACUUUUUUGUUUUUUUUUAAAAACUUAGAUGGGUGUAAAACACUAAAAAUCAAUAUUAAGAUUAGUGGCCUUGGUUAGUAAUACAGUUUACAAUAUUAUGUUAAAUAUGCCUAUAGAUUUAUAGUGGUCAUUCUUGACUCUUAAAGUUGCUGAAUGUUACCAAAUUUCAUGGUGCAUUCUUUGCAAUAAUUUACUAAUUAUUUUACGUAAGAGGGGUAUUUUGUUUUUAUAUUCUAAACAUAAUGGAUAAUAAUAAAAUGUCUUUUUUCUUCCUAAAAUUGAAGCAACUGAGCUGAAAAAUGAAAAAUCUGUUUUAUAGUUUUCGAUAUACUGAGCCCAAGGGAGCAGAGUUUAAAUUUGACUUGAUUUUGGCACACGAAUUUACCAAACUAUUUAACUUUCAAAAAUUGCAACACCACCCCUUGCUGAAAAAUGCAUAUCUCUCACCUGUAAGCAUGGUAAUUUAACCAUCUGUAAUUAUGAAGUACAAGGGCAACACCUUGUGGGAAUUCAAAGCUAUUGCAGCUCUGACCAAUAAAUAAGAAUUCUGAAUUUCAACUAAGAAGGUUUCAUAGUUAGAUGAUUGGCUUUAACAUACCAUCUGUGAUUACGUACUUAUGUUACAAAAAUUACAGUCCGCUUAGGAUUGUUAACUAUUAAACUUCGAUCUCUUUCUGACUUUCUCAACUAAACAAAGAUGGACAUGUGAAACAGACUUCCACGUGGAGGCAAUUGACUCAGUUAAUUCUUAAAAGGAGCUGCAUGGAUGGGAAUUUAAGUUAAGAGAGAUAGCAACAGCUGAUUGAGGAUUGUGUUUUGGGGAAGGUGAAGGAUAAAUUUGGUGCUGCUUAGAGUAUCAGUACAAUUAGAGGGAGUCCUUAAAUAAUUAAUGGGCAGUGGAUGAACUGAGCUGCUUGAUGAGCUGAAUGCUCUUGUCUUUUCCUGAUUCUUUUUUCAUAUAUUAAUCUAAAGACUACUUGAGAAAUAAAGCUGCCAAUUGUACUGAAGGGUGUAGGUGUUUCACCAUCAGAAAGUUUCUGUCCCUACUUAGGGAUAACUACUGAAUAGCAAUAGAACUCAGGCUGAAGAGGUCACAAACUAUGUG